UACGUAGGGGGCAAGCGUUGUCCGGAAUCAUUGGGCGUAAAGCGCGUGUAGGCGGCCCGAUAAGUCCGCUGUGAAAAGUCCAGGGCUCAACCCCUGGAAUGCCGGUGGAUACUGUCGGGCUCGAGUCCGGAAGAGGCGAGUGGAAUUCCUGGUGUAGCGGUGAAAUGCGCAGAUAUCAGGAGGAACACCAAUGGCGAAGGCAGCUCGCUGGGACGGUACUGACGCUGAGACGCGAAAGCGUGGGGAGCAAACAGG
rnacentral:rRNA from 1 species